GACGAACGCUGGCGGCGUGCUUAACACAUGCAAGUCGAACGGAAAGGCCCUGCUUUUGUGGGGUGCUCGAGAGGCGAACGGGUGAGUAACACGUGAGUAACAUGCCCUUGACUUUGGGGUAACUUCAGGAAACUGGGGCUAAUACCGGAUAGGAGCUCCUGCUGCAUGGUGGGGGUUGGAAAGUUUCGGCGGUUGUGGAUGGACUCGCGGCUUAUCAGCUUGUUGGUGGGGUAGUGGCUUACAAAGGGUUUGACGGGUAGCCGGCCUGAGAGGGUGACCGGCGACAUUGGUACUGCGGGACGGCCCAGACUCCUACGGGAGGCAGCAGUGGGGAAUAUGGCACAAUGGGCGGAAGCGUGAUGCAGCAACGCCGCGUGCGUGAUGACGGCCUUCGGGUUGUAAACCGCUUUCGCCUGUGACGAAGCGUGAGUGACGGUAAUGGGUAAAGAAGCACCGGCUAACUACGUG
rnacentral:rRNA from 1 species